UGUACCCUACGGGAGGCAGCAGUGGGGAAUAUUGGACAAUGGGGGGAACCCUGAUCCAGCGACGCCGCGUGAGUGAAGAAGUAUUUCGGCAUGUAAAUCUCUAUCAGCAGGGAAGAAAGAAAUGACGGUACCUGACUAAGAAGCCCCGGCUAACUACGUGCCAGCAGCCGCGGUAAUACGUAGGGGGCAAGCGUUAUCCGGAUUUACUGGGUGUAAAGGGAGCGUAGACGGCGAUGCAAGUCUGAAAUGAAAGGCGGGGGCCCAACCCCCGGACUGCUUUGGAAACUGUAUAGCUGG
rnacentral:rRNA from 1 species